rnacentral:rRNA from 1 species
AUUGAACGCUGGCGGCAUGCCUUACACAUGCAAGUCGAACGGUAACAGGUCUUCGGAUGCUGACGAGUGGCGAACGGGUGAGUAAUACAUCGGAACGUGCCCGAUCGUGGGGGAUAACGCAGCGAAAGCUGUGCUAAUACCGCAUACGAUCUACGGAUGAAAGCGGGGGAUCGCAAGACCUCGCGCGGACGGAGCGGCCGAUGGCAGAUUAGGUAGUUGGUGGGGUAAAGGCUCACCAAGCCUGCGAUCUGUAGCUGGUCUGAGAGGACGACCAGCCAGACUGGGACUGGGACCCGGCCCAGACUCCUACGGGAGGCAGCAGUGGGGAAUUUUGGACAAUGGGCGAAAGCCUGAUCCAGCCAUGCCGCGUGCAGGAUGAAGGCCUUCGGGUUGUAAACUGCUUUUGUACGGAACGAAAAGUCUCCUUCUAAUAAAGGGGGAUCAUGACGGUACCGUAAGAAUAAGCACCGGCUAACUACGUGCCAGCCGCCGCCGUAA